rnacentral:lncRNA from 1 species
AAUAAUAACAGUAAACAGAUUCACAACAAUGUCAAUUUCAAGAAAGCAGACAACAGUUAAUUAGUCAAUAACAGUACAGCAACAAUGAUCUUGAAUAUAUGCCACUUUUAACUAAAAUAUAAAGGCACAGAAACAGGACAUAGGAGCACAGAACCAGGACCGUUUUUCUUAUCACCAGCACAGCGUCAGGACAAUUCCGUUUAACGAACUUGCACGACUUUUGCAAUAUAAUAUUGUUGUAAUAUACUUUGCAUGGUACUUAUGACGCAUCAGAGAAAAAUUAAGCAACAAAACUGUCGUUUUAUUGCCGUUCUGAUACAAUGUAAACAAACCCACCAGCACAGAAUCAGGACCCACCAGCACCUGACAGGACCAAAUCACCAGCACAGAACGUUCUCUCGCAGGACAACCAUACCCACCGUGUUGUCACGGAAAUAAAAACUUAUGAUUUGUAAUGUUGACAAAAUCCUGAUCCCCUCUCACUUAAGGUAUUAUAAUACAAAUAUGAUAAUCUGAGGCGCAUUAUACAAAUAAAAGUUCUUAUAAUUCUUAAAAAAUAAAUGUUUAUGUGCCGUGUUUCUUUAAAACAAAGAUAUGAUCGGACGAUGACCUUCCCCCCAGCUGACCAAAGAUUCAAUGUGUGUGUUAGAAGCACCUCCGCGCAAUACAUCAAACAUGUUAUACAAACAGACCCAGAACGACUAAUGAAGUAAUUUCAAUUAAGAAAAAAAAACAACAAAAAAAAACCAAUAAUAAUCCAUGGGAAAAAAUCAAAAUAAAUCAAAAAUGAAAAAUAUUUAAUAUAUGUGUAGGACUCUGAACCGCGAUGGUCACGAUGAUGUGCAAUGGUUUUACGCUGAUGUGCGAUGGUAGCAUUGUGACGCUAUCUUGUUGAUAGAUACGCC